UGGGAUGUAGCUCAGAAGGAGAGCGCUUGAUUCGCAUGCAGCAAGACCUGGGUUCGAAUACCAGUUUCUCUA